rnacentral:tRNA from 1 species
GCCGGAAUAGCUCAGUUGGGAGAGCGUUAGACUGAAAUUGUUUACGCAACAAUCAUCUUAAGGCCCCCCCCCCCCGGUUCAAUCACAGGUUCCGGCA